rnacentral:rRNA from 1 species
GAUCAUGGCUCAGGAUGAACGCUAGCUACAGGCUUAACACAUGCAAGUCGAGGGGCAGCAUGGUCUUAGCUUGCUAAGGCCGAUGGCGACCGGCGCACGGGUGAGUAACACGUAUCCAACCUGCCGUCUACGUCUUGGACAGCCUUCUGAAAGGAAGAUUAAUACAAGAUGGCAUCAUGAGUUCGCAUGUUCACAUAGAUUAAAGGUAUUCCGGUAGACGAUGGGG